UAUGUCCUUAUUUUAAUGGCUCAAUCAUCAAAUGGCGUCAAAAUUGAAUUCCUGAAAGCAAGUUGAAAUGACCUGGGGAUUGGAGAGGGAAAAUGGGAAACAAGAUUCAGUCGUAUGUGUUACUGACCCUUCAUACAGUCCCAACCAAAAAUCCAUCAUCUUCUCCCUCACCCACCACCUGCCACCACCUCCGCUCUUUGAUUUCAUAUUUGGACGGCAAGGGCAUCUUCAGCAGCAUUUAAAUAGGAUUCGUCUGCCCGCUCGACGCCAAGGGAGACCGCAUCACCGUCGCCGUAAAAGGGACUCAACCAGCGCGGCCUCCAGGUUUACUAUGAUGCGCUCAUCAAUGACUCCACCACUGCUUGUUUUGAGGAUGAUGCCUCCAAGAAUGACCAAACCCGUGAGCACGCCGUCCUUGCAUUCAUUCUUGGAGUGAAGCAGAUUAUCUAGUGUUUAAUAAGGUAUACUUGCUACCAUAAGAAUAAGCAGAUUAUCUGGUGUUUAAUAAGGUAUACUUGCUACUAAGAGACCCGUGAGCACGCCAGUAGCACAUAAUUCGUGCUUAUAAUUUAAUAUUGCUAAAUCUUAAGCAUGUUGCCAUGUUUGUUCUCUUAGUAAGCUCCUGAUGUCGCAUUUAUACUCAUGCUGGAUUGCUGGAAAGAUCUCUGGCUCUGUUGACUACUUUAUCAGUAAAUCAUUUUAGACCCGAGUUCACCAAAAAAGGUAACUAAAAUAUAUAUAGUUUUUCGGUAGAUUAUUUGAGGCUGCUUUAUCUAUUAAGUACACGGUUUCCCGCUUUUUCGGGUUUUAAGGUAUACACAAGAGUGCACGUUUUAGUUAUUGUGCUUUCCUUAGCUCAUCGGUGGCGUUCGUGCUAGGGCGAUGAUGAUUAAUCGUGGCUGAAAUAAGUGUGCCUUUGAGCAAUAAUGGCACCUGUGCGUAUCAGGUUGGAUCCUCCCUCUUGUCUCUAGAAUCCUUUUUGAUCCUGUGAUACUUGUUGUUGUCCUUGGAUGAUCAUUCUUGUUGAGUGAUAACCAGGGCAGCUCCACUGUAUAAACAGAUUGAUCUGGUGAUAAGAGAUGACGGGGUAGGUUAUAUGAUCGAGGAAAGGCGAAUCUGAGCCCACUAUGCAAUGAACCCUGAACCCUUUCUGCUUGUAUCCCCUUGUUAGAGUCUGAAGCAAAAUGGAGCUCUCUCGUUCGUUUGGAUUCUGGACCGUUUGAUCAUUUUCCUGAUGCGAUUCCGGCCGUCGGAUCUCGGGCUCGGCUCACGUGAGGCCUCGGAUAUUUACCAGAUCACUGUGAGCUGUCGGAUAAAAUUCCAAUGGCAAUAGAAUGUAUAUACCGUGCCCCCACCAGGGCAUCUGGGUCAUUUCGCUUAGGAGGGCAGGUGUAUAAAAUGAUUGCGGCUUCCUGCGAUGAAAACCUAGCUGCCGCCUCCUCUCUCUCACUCGCUCCUGUAGCUGCCUCCCUCCCUCCCACGCAGGUGGUUCCCAUGGCGACGGCGGCAGCGGCCACGGAGGAGGGCAGCAGACCAGCGGCGCCAGCGAUGGCGUCCGUGGCAGCUAUGCAAUGAACCCUGAACCAUUUUUAUUUGUAUUUAAAGGGGUUGCUUAUUUAUGCUCAAGUGGUGUUCGUGCUAGGGCGAUGAUGAUUACCUUGGCUGGAAUUAUUGUGCCUUUGAGCAAUCAAGGCACCUGUAGGUAUCAAGUUGGAUCCUCCCUCUUGUCUCUAGAAUCCUUUUUGAUCAUGUGAUACUUAUUGUUGUCCUUGGAUGGUCAUUCUUGUUGACUGAUAACCAGGGCAGCUCUACUGUAUAAAGAGAUCGAUCUGGUGAUAAGAGAUGAUGGGGGUAGGUUAUAUGAUCGAGGAAAGGUGAAUCUGAGCCCACUAUGCAAUAAAACUGCAGCUACCUCCCCUAAUGUGUGUAGUAUUGAAGGCAAAAAAGAACUUUUCAUGUCUUGCUACUUUAAAAUUCCAAAAAAGUUCAUUCUUCCUUUGCGGGUUACUUAACCAUGAUUUUUGUUUUGCUUUGGUUCUGGUUGAGAUACUAAAGGUUGUUUAUAUAUGAAAAUAACAAACACUUGUAGUUUUGUAUGCCUCAGCUGUUGCUUAGGAUCCAGUGUUGUAGUGUCUUCGAUCAGUAUGUUCAUAUUGAGAUGUAGGGAUGCAUCAGGCACGUCAACUUUCUUGGCUUGGCGGUUGCGCAAUACUAAUAUUAUGUAUAACUUCACAACAUUGUGAACUAAUGGCCAUCUUAUAGUGCUUUUAUGUUCACUCCUGAUCCUGUCACUAUCACAGGUGUGGUACACACAUAAAGUGGAAUCGAGCGUGACCCGCUGAAAUUAUCAUGAUGCUGCAUUCUUACAAAAAAAACUAAUUAGAGUGUCCUGUUGCGUUAGAUGCUUGAUGUUUUCCUUUAAUCGGAAAGUCGUUCUAGGUAAUUGACCCUUCUCCUUAAAACAUACUUUGAAGAUUUUGAAUGACAUUUUAUUAGAGUAGUUUCCAAAUGCUACCUUACUUAUUUUCCUUUUUUGUUGUUUCUACUAGGUUUAAACUAAAAGGAGAAAUAGCUAUAAAAAUUGUCCUUUAUAUUCUUUGGCAGGCCUUCUGCUCGGUCAAAUCUGAGUUAUGGUAGUUGCUAUAAAUGUCUAGGUUUCAGCUUAAUAUUUGCAUUACAUGCCCGGAGAACUAAUGUUAUGCUUGUACUAAAUUGGAAAAUAGCUGGCUACAUUCGUGUGAUGUUUUAUGAAUUUAUUUUUUAAUAAUUCAUGUGUUGUUUCAUUCCUUGGAAUACAAUUUCAUCUGAUUUAUUACUCCUGAAGAUGGUUCCAUUUGAAUGCGUGAAAUUACAAAAGCUCAAGUUUGUAGUUUUAGUCAUAGGUCAACCAGGGCACUAUUUCUAAUGAAGGUAAUGUUUCUAUAUGGUUUUUACUGUUCGGUGGUACAUUUAGAUAGUUAGCAUCGUCCGUUGACUAUGUGUUUUGUACCCUGUUGUUCCAGGGUGAGAUUUCCUGUGAUUUUGUGGAAGUAGAUGAUUGAUAGAGACUCGGAGGAGGUAAUUGAUAGAUAUAGACGUCGUGGUUCCUAUUUCUUCAUGUACUAUUUUUCUUCCAAUUUUCUUUUAAUUACAAGCUACCUCUGCCAUUGUAGUCAUUUCUUUAUUUCAUACCAGUCUCUGUUGACUACUAUGUAACCAUGCAUGGGUGGCUUAAAUGGCAUAAGUUCUUAUUCAGUUAGAAAAAGGCAACAAAAACAACCAGGGUAAUCUUGCUCUAGAAAUUGCAUGACAUGUGCUUAUUCUCAUUUGUACAUAUGUGCGAGUUGAGUUCAAGAAAUUCUUGCAAAUGCAUUUUUUGGAUAACAGUCGUCGGCACAUAACCAUUUACUGAUUUAUAUUAAACCCUAUGGAAGCCAAGAUAUAUUCCAGGUUUAGGUUCAUGUCCAAUAUAUCUCAUUUCACGGAAUAUAAAUUUUCUUGGAAGCUAUAUCCUCCCAUGGUCCAUUGUUUUAUGCAUUGUUCAUGUUAACUUGGCUAAGAAGUGUUCAGGGAAGCUUUGAGUUUUGGUUGUUUCAAAAUAUACACAUCAAAGAAGAUGUUAUAUACCUUUUGCCAUUUAGCGGUGCUUAGGGAGUGAACAAGAUCCACUCUAAAAAGCUCCGGCAUCUGUCCACAAAGUUACCAGUGCAAAGCAGAUGGAAAAGAAUAAGGCAUCGAAGAAUGUUGUGCAUGUGCCUCUGCUUCCUCCUGCUACUAAUGAGGUCACGGAUCCAGUUGUUGAUCCUAAAACACAGGAUGUUGAUGGGGUUACUUUAAGGGGUGUUGAUGCAGAGGAGGGAGGCGAGGAUCCCAGUGCCAGAAAAAGGCAUAAGCUCUAGAGCAGCUGACGCCGAUUGAUCCACUCUUUUGGUCCAUGACGGUUGGCUAUGGACGUACGACGAUACCUGGAUUUGCUGAUAUCCGUGGUGCUUCAUUACGUGCUCAACGAUGAAGCCCCUUCGUCGUACGGACCUGUCUACAUGAAGACCUGUCACUUAGUAUAUAAUCUGCUGCUUUAUUUCCUUUAGGGGGUAUGUGCCGUGGGUACUUUUAAAUUUGAACAAAACCUACCUUAUUAUUACCUGUUUGCUUGAAUGUGUGUCGCCGACGAUGUACUGGAGUAUGAGCAGACGCAAACUUGUGGUGCUUAUGGCUGUUGUUGGCAAAUGACUUAAAUAUGUCUAUGUGUGCCUGUUGUCCAUUUCUUUAAUUACAUCUGGGAUGA